rnacentral:lncRNA from 1 species
GGCAUCAUUGAUCAUCCUUGUUCUUGACUGUUUGCGGUUUCGCAUCUUCAUGCUUUUUCUUCGAUUGCUGGCUAAUCACCAAGUUCCCAUGCAUGGUCCGCGAUCAUCACCAACAAUUAGUAUCAGAGUGGGGUUGCGUGGAAGAAAGAAGAAAGAUGCCUAGAGUUUCUACAUCCAUGAUCUGCGACACUAGGUUCUAUCCCAAAAUUAUUCUUUAUCUUCUUCAUGGUGAUCUCUUGGUUGAGGUGGAGAGGUUCUGCACAUGGAAGAGGUGAAAGAGAAGGUGUUAGGGUUGUUUUGGUGUGUGAUUCCAAAAAGGUGUUAGGGCGGUAGAUUUGCUUGGUUGUGGUAAUGGCUUCAAGCAGAUUCAAGGUGGAUUUCGAAAAAUUUGAUAGCAAGAAAAACUUUACUCUAUGGCAGCAAAGGAUAAAGGAUUUGCUGGUUCAACAAAGGAUCUAUAAGAUUUUGGUAAGGG